rnacentral:lncRNA from 1 species
GUAAGUGGAGAAAUUGAUUGCAAAUACAAGAUCCUCUUUUGGAUAAUUAUAAUUUUGAACCUCUUCAUAAGUGACGCAAGUUUUCUGGACUGCUACAGCAAGAGCAUGUUCCAAAGCAAGAAGAGAAAGUUAGUGGGAUGGGACAUUGUCAGGAGACAUGGGAUGAUCUUAAUUACAUGGCAGAGGCUGCUUACAUUUUAGUGAUAAAUAGCUUCAUCUUCUCUAAAAGGUCGAACGUUGAACGUCCAGCGAAAGACGUCAACAAUCUCCGUAGUUUCUCUGAUGAUUUCGACUUCUUGUAAAUCAUAAAUCAUUUAAAUAAUAUCCCGGUUAUUCGUCUCUCCCUCUUAGGAAAGGAACUUAUACCGGUGCACGUCGUUAAAGACCUAGGCGUGACUUUUGACUCGAGCCUUACUUUUCACGAGCAUAUUGUUAAAACAGUUUCCUCCUGCUUCUCAAGUUUAGCUCAAAUUAGUCGUGUUUGACAGGUCGACCUUAUUGAUAAUAAUUAACACUUUACUGUUUGGUAAGUUAUUUUAUUGUUCCUCCGUCUGGUCCAAUGCAGCGGACACUAACCUUCUCAAGCUACAAGCGGUCCAGAAUUUUGCAGCCCGGAUUAUCUGUGGUCUCAGAAAAUUUGACCACGUGACUCCGCUUCUGAGAGAACUGCACUGGCUACCUAUUAAAUCUCAGCUAUAUCUCCGUGACGCCGUACUUGCUUUUAAAUGUUUGACCGGCUCCGCUCCCACUUAUCUCUCCUUGAAGUUUCUAACACGUGGUGAGAUAAGUGGUCGUACGACCAGAAGCUCCCAACUUCUGCAUAUACCCCUAUAUAGAACUAAAUCUGGACAAAGGACUUUCUUUUAUCGUACAGUAAGUCUAUGGAACAGUUUAGAUAACACCCUCAAACUCUGUAAUUAUUCUCGUGAUUUUAAGCGUAAACUUAGAGCCAAAUUACUUGCUGCUUUCCUUUCUCGUCGCUCUUAGUCGUAACUUUGGCGAACAUUUAGUAACAUUUUAGCUUCCUUAGUUUUUCUAUUAUACAUUUUAGUAUUGUAAUUUUGUAAUUUUUAGCUCAUUGUCACCGAAAAACCCUCUUUAGGGAGUGUCAAUAAAGUUUGUAUUGUAGAGUAUCAUAGCCAUCAAAGAAGCCAAUUUUUUUUCUCCGCACGAGAUGAAGUAAUGGAAUAGUUGUAAAUCCUAAUUGUAGAGGGUUUAUAAAAAACGUUUCAAUAAUGUAUUGUACAGCGUUAAAAAAAAAGUGAAGAUCCAUCAUACACAGUUAUAUCAUGUUUUGUGAAGAUAAAUCAAUGCUGUUCUUCACUAAAUACGAAUUAGCCUGACUUCAACACUUGGCGCAAAUAAAUUGUUUAAAAAAUAUGUACUACAAUUUUCUCCUACACGUUUUUAGGCAUGUAGUCUUUUUCAUUGCCCUUUAAAAGGAUAAUUUUUCUUUUAUCAUGUUUUCUUGGCCUGAAGAAAUGCACUGUUUAUGGGAAAAUUUAGUGAUUUUUCCGUGUGGCUUUUUAAGCAUAUUUAUUCGUUGUUUUCGUUAUUGUAGCGUUCUCAAUUCAUGCGUUUCUUUUGUUUUAAUGAUUAAAAAAAUAUAUGUAGGAAAUUCAUUGUAGUUUUUGGGAAUAAAUUUUGCAUUGUUA